rnacentral:rRNA from 1 species
AUUGAACGCUGGCGGCAGGCUUAACACAUGCAAGUCGAGCGGGGUGAUGGUGCUUGCACUAUCACUUAGCGGCGGACGGGUGAGUAAUGCUUAGGAAUCUGCCUAUUAGUGGGGGACAACAUCUCGAAAGGGAUGCUAAUACCGCAUACGUCCUACGGGAGAAAGCAGGGGAUCACUUGUGACCUUGCGCUAAUAGAUGAGCCUAAGUCGGAUUAGCUAGUUGGUGGGGUAAAGGCCUACCAAGGCGACGAUCUGUAGCGGGUCUGAGAGGAUGAUCCGCAACACUGGGACGGGGACACGGUCCAGACCCCUACGGGAGGAAGCAGUGGGGAAUAUUGGACAAUGGGGGGAACCCUGAUCCAGCCAUGCCGCGUGUGUGAAGAAGGCCUUAUGGUUGUAAAGCACUUUAAGCGAGGAGGAGGCUCUUUUGGUUAAUACCCAAGAUGAGUGGACGUUACUCGCAGAAUAAGCACCGGCUAACUCUGUGCCAGCAGCCGCCGUAA